GUGCUCACUUUGGCAGCACAUAGACUAAAAUCGGAACGAUACAGAGAAGAUUAGCAUGGCCCCUGCACAAGGAGGAUGCGCGAAUUCGUGAAGCGCUCCAUGUUUUC
rnacentral:snRNA from 1 species